rnacentral:rRNA from 1 species
CCUACGGGCGGCAGCAGUGGGGAAUAUUGGUCAAUGGGCGCAAGCCUGACCCAGCAACGCCGCGUGAAGGAAGAAGGCUCUCGGGUUGUUAACUUUCUUUGACAGGGAAGAGUAGAAGACGGUACCUGUCGAAUAAGCCACGGCUCACUACGUGCCAGCAGCCGCGGUAAUACGUAGGUGGCAAGCGGUGACCGGAUUUACUGGGUGUAAAGGGCGUGUAGGCGGGUUGACAAGUCAGGUGUGAAAUCCUGCGGCUUAACCGCAGAACUGCAUUUGAAACUGUUGAUCUUGAGUACUGGAGAGGCAUGCGGAAUGCGUGGUGUAGCGGUGAAAUGCGUAGAUAUUAGGAGGAACACCGGUGGCGAAGGCGGUCUGCUGGACAGCAACUGACGGUGAGGCGCGAAAGCGUGGGGAGCGAACAGGAUUAGAUACCCCAGUAGUC